rnacentral:rRNA from 1 species
CCUACGGGAGGCAGCAGUGGGGAAUAUUGGACAAUGGACCAAAAGUCUGAUCCAGCAAUUCUGUGUGCACGAUGAAGUUUUUCGGAAUGUAAAGUGCUUUCAGUUGGGAAGAAGUCAGUGACGGUACCAACAGAAGAAGCGACGGCUAAAUACGUGCCAGCAGCCGCGGUAAUACGUAGGCGGCAAGCGUUGUCCGGAAUUAUUGGGCGUAAAGGGAGCGCAGGCGGGAAACUAAGCGGAUCUUAAAAGUGCGGGGCUCAACCCCGUAUUGCGUUGGAAACUGCUAAACUAGAGUACUGGAGAGGUAGGCGGAACUACAAGUGUAGAGGUGAAAUUCGUAGAUAUUUGUAGGAAUGCCGAUGGGGAAGCCAGCCUACUGGACAGAUACUGACGCUAAAGCGCGAAAGCGUGGGUAGCAAACAGG